rnacentral:rRNA from 1 species
GUAGGGCGAGGCACGUGAAACCUUGUCUGAAUAUGGGGGGACCAUCCUCCAAGGCUAAAUUCUCCUGACUGACCGAUAGUGAACCAGUACCGUGAGGGAAAGGCGAAAAGAACCCCUGUGAGGGGAGUGAAAUAGAUCCUGAAACCGCAUGCAUACAAGCAGUGGGAGCACCUUCGUGGUGUGACUGCGUACCUUUUGUAUAAUGGGUCAGCGACUUAUAUUCAGUAGC